UGAGUACGAGAUGCUACGGCAUCGAAGCAGUCUAUGUCAUACUUCCAAGAAAAGCUUGCACUGUCAUAAACAAAGAAUGCCUGUACCAUAACCGACACAGGUGGGUAGGUAGGGUAUACUAAGGGGCGCGAGAUAACUCUCUCUAAGGAACUCGGCAAAAUGACUCCGUAACUUCGGGAGAAGGAGUGCCUUAUUUCCAAGGUUGCAAUAACAAGAUCCAAGCAACUGUUUACCAAAAACACAGGUCUCCGCUAAGUCGUAAGACGAUGUAUGGGGGCUGACGCCUGCCCAGUGCCAGAAGGUUAAAGAAGUUGGUUAGCAUUAGCGAAGCUGAUAACUGAAGCCCUGGUGAACGGCGGCCGUAACUAUAACGGUCCUAAGGUAGCGAAAUUCCUUGUCGGGUAAGUUCCGACCCGCACGAAAGGCGUAAUGAUUUGGAUACUGUCUCGGAGAGGGGCUCGGUGAAAUAGACUUGUCUGUGAAGAUGCGGACUACCUGCACCUGGACAGAAAGACCCUAUGAAGCUUUACUGUAACUUGAGAUUGAAAUUGGACUUUAUUUGCGCAGUAUAGGUGGGAGGCGUUGAGAAUAAUCUUGCGGGAUUGUUGGAGCCAUCAGUGAGAUACCACUCUUGUAAUGUUAGAUUUCUAACUUUGUAUCAUUAUCUGGUCAAAGAACAGUUUCAGGCGGGCAGUUUGACUGGGGCGGUCGCCUCCCAAAGGGUAACGGAGGCGCACAAAGGUUUCCUCUGAACGGGUAGAAAUCGUAUCUAGAGUGUAAAGGCAUAAGGAAGCUUGACUGUGAGACCUACAAGUCGAGCAGGGACGAAAGUCGGUCUUAGUGAUCUGACGGUGCUGAGUGGAAAGGCCGUCACUCAACGGAUAAAAGUUACUCUAGGAUAACAGGCUGAUCUCCCCCAAGAGUUCACAUCGACGGGGAGGUUUGGCACCUCGAUGUCGGCUCAUCGCAUCCUGGGGCGGUAGUCCGUCCCAAGGGUUGGGCUGUUCGCCCAUGAAAGCGGUACGCGAGCUGGGUUCAGAACGUCGUGAGACAGUUCGGUCCAUAUCCGGUGUAGGCGUUAGAAUAUUGAGAGGAGCCUUCUCUAGUACGAGAGGACCGAGAAGGACAUACCUCUGGUGUACCAGUUAUCGUGCCAACGGUAAACGCUGGGUAGCUAUGUAUGGAGUGGAUAACCGCUGAAAGCAUCUAAGUGGGAAGCCCACCUCAAGAUAAGUAUUCCC
rnacentral:rRNA from 1 species